rnacentral:rRNA from 1 species
UCGGAAUUACUGGGCGUAAACCGCACGUAGUUUAAGCUUUGUAAGUUAGAGGUGAUAGCCUGGAGCUCACUCCAGAAUUGCCUUUAAGACUGCAUCGCUUGAAUCCAGGAGAGGUGAGUGGAAUUCCGAGUGUAAGGUGAAAUUCGUAGAUAUUCGGAAGAACACCAGUGGCGAAGGCGUCUCACUGGACUGGUAUUGACGCUGAGGUGCGAAAGCGUGGGGAGCAAACAGGAUUAAUACCCUGGUA